UAUCCAACUAUAAUCUUCAAGGGCUAAACCUGAAUACGUGAUUAGUCCUCUCAGGAAGAAGCGGUACUUGUGGGGAGAACAACUCCAUCUACUCCAUUUAUUCGAUGGAGAAGAAGAAAAGGAACCGGUGUAGAAGAUGGGGAGAUUGAUGGAAAAUCAAUUGGUGGGGAGUUAAUUAGGAAGAUAAUAAAUGUGUGUAUCUGGGCUGGGAAGGCAUCGGGCAAAACGUAGCUGGCACCACAAUUUUCCUCACUCAGUCGUACGCGUCCAGAAGGAAAGCCUGUUGCAUGGUCAAAAGAACGAAACGGCAUCUUCAUUUAUCGGUGGCAGCUCUUAGUAAUUUUCUCAACCUUUGAUCAGACGGCUACACUCUCUUUAACUUUACUAAAUCAAGGGCUAUAACACUCUGUGAUGAUAGCUACCUCCGGGCCUAAAUAAUCAUCAACUUGGUUCACCGAGUCCGAACAAUCUGAUUCAAUUUCUAUCUUGUUGCAUCCAAUGUGAGUUGCCAAGUAUAUCUCGUUUCUGAUGGCAGUUAGCUCAGCUGAGUCAACUCCACAGAUGUAUGAAACAAACCAACUUGCUGCAGCAAUAAAAUCACCCCGUUCGUCUCGAGCCACAGCACCACAAGCACCUGAAAGUGUUUCAUACUGAAAGGAAGCAUCAACAUUUAUCUUCACGAUCCCAUGUCCUGGUUUCCUCCACAUGUGGCCAUUCUUCCUUAUUGGUCCUUUGGGUAUAGUUGACCUGAGGUAAUUUGUCGCCAAAACCUUGAUGGCUAGUGCAGUUUUUUCUGGCGUUUGGACUUUGACUCUCUUUACUAUCUGUCGGCGUUGCCACCAUAUAUACCAUGCUGCUACGACUGCAAGCUUCGCCGUUGGUACCUCCGCAUCAUUGCCUUGAAGCUUUGAUAAAAUUUCCAUCGUAAUAGAUCCUGAUCUGUCCUUGGCGACAACUUUCCAUAUGACUUGUAGCAAGCCCAGCCGCUCCCAAACAUCCGUCGCUCGUCGGCACUUAAAUAAGCAGUGUUGAAUGUCUUCUGCUCCGACUAAACAAACUGGACAUUGAGCUGAGCAUGGGAUGUGUCGGCUUGCUAAUACACCAAAGCAUGGGAGGGUGCCAUGCAAAAUGUUUUAUCUUCCCUGGUAUUUUCAGCUUCCACAUAUCCUUCCAAACUGAGUUUAUAUUUUCUGUAUCUUGCCCAUCAGCUCGCACCCACUGUGCCCCAUGUUGAUGUUCAAACUCCUUAUGAUAAGCCUAUCGCACUGAAAACGUGCCUGAUCGUGUAUAGUUCCAAGCCACAAAGUCUUCCAUCAAGUGAUAAUUCAAGGCGAUUUGUAAUAUCCUAUGAACAUCGACAGGAGAGAAAACAUCACGAAUUAUGAUGGACUUUGCGUCCAUAUCCUUCAGACAUUGCUAUAGAGAGGCCAAUCAGGUGGCAGAUGAAUUAGCAAAAAACUCUUUUACUACUAGACCCUCUAGUUCUUGGGAUGAUGAGACCCCAGAUUUUAUUUCUCAUCUGCUUGUAAAUGACAUGUCUAUUAUUUGAGAAAUAAAGUCUAUUUGCAGUCAAAAAAAAUCAACGGCUAUAACAAUUAGGGUGAUGUGGCUUCAUGAGAAGGCAGGAAAAUCACCUAAUGGGGUGCCCCUAUUUAGAUAUAGAAGAUAUACGAAGUCAUGCACCCGUGUCCCAAAAGGGGUCAAUAGCUCCUGUACGACAUCUUUCGUGGAAAUUGGACGGAAUGUGACAUUGUUGACGAAAAUGGCAAGUUUUUUGAUUUGUGAAUAAAUUUAGAAAAAAGAAACAUUUUCAUGCAUUUGUGAACAAAUUUUCGAAAUCAUGCAAUGGGACGUGAAUAAAAUGUGGUCAUUGUGAUUGAACAUUAUGAUUUUUUUUGUUGCAACGCACGGGCCCUUUCGCUAGUCUCUCCCUAAUUGAACAUAUAAACCCUCCUAGAGUACCCGCAUAGCUGAGGGCAUCGCUCGCGCUCGCCACUUUUGACCACCCGAUCGAGCUGGUACAGUAAUAUUUUGGCUGCUGGCGGCUGGUCAACCGCUCGCUUGUUUUUACUUUUGCGUCUGCUUCACGAGAGAAUGACAUGUGGGGCUCGUUUGGCGUGGGGCCGCGAGAUACACGUGAGUUUUCUUCAGCUUUUGGUACGCGAAGUCUGCGCCGCUUGAUCGUCAAUCGCGAUCUGGGUAAAAGGAACCCUAGGCCCACGAGCCAAUCCCGCACCCGCCUCCCUCGCCAAUCCCGUAGCCGCCUCCCUCGCUUCCUCCGCAGUCCCGCAGCCGCCUCCCCUGCUUCCUCCGCACCUCGCCCCGUGAGCCCCGCUCCCCUCCUUCCCUGCUCUCCACUAUGCCGCCCCCUCCUCUCCUUCACUUUCGGCGCCGCACAUGGGCGAUGGAUCCAUGCCUGAGAAGAGCGGCGGGGACUGCACUCCGGUCGCGGUGGGGUGCAGCCGCGGGAAAGAUGAACUAGGUCCGCCGCCCGUCUUCGUCUCCUCGCCCCGUCCUUGUUGCCUCCAUGGCCAAGCGCAUGUAAUUUUUUUCCUGGCCCUCCAUGGUACUCGUUGCCGGCGGGAUCUCGAGGAACAGGUGACCUCCAUGGCGUUCGUUGCUGCUCUGAAUAGGCAGGGUGGACGCAACGCACACGAUCUCUAGGAAGGCCACGGGAUGACUGUGUGAUGCAGUGAGGACAACAACAAAUCUAUCCUCGUUGAGCUCCCACCCCGACGGCUGCCUGCAGAGGAGGAGAGUUCGAGGACAUCUUUCGGUUCAUGGGGGAGACUCGAACACGGAUAGGGUUUGGGCGGAGGUUGAUUCCCCUCCGACCGAGCGUACCGAGUUGCUUUGCUGUACAAAGAUCCCUUUUUGAUGGUGCCAUGGUGCUCCUCUCUAGG